rnacentral:rRNA from 1 species
CUUGCGGCUUCGCUGACGAUUGGUGUACGGUUGAGUAAUGUCUGGAAAAACUGCCUGAUGGAGGGGGAUAACUACUGGAAACGGUAGCUAAUACCGCAUAACGUCGCAAGACCAAAGAGGGGGACCUUCGGGCCUCUUGCCAUCGGAUGUGCCCAGAUGGGAUUAGCUAGUAGGUGGGGUAACGGCUCACCUAGGCGACGAUCCCUAGCUGGUCUGAGAGGAUGACCAGCCACACUGGAACUGAGACACGGUCCAGACUCCUACGGGAGGCAGCAGUGGGGAAUAUUGCACAAUGGGCGCAAGCCUGAUGCAGCCAUGCCGCGUGUAUGAAGAAGGCCUUCGGGUUGUAAAGUACUUUCAGCGGGGAGGAAGGCGAUAAGGUUAAUAACCUUGUCGAUUGACGUUACCCGCAGAAGAAGCACCGGCUAACUCCGUGCCAGCAGCCGCGGUAAUACGGAGGGUGCAAGCGUUAAUCGGAAUUACUGGGCGUAAAGCGCACGCAGGCGGUCUGUCAAGUCGGAUGUGAAAUCCCCGGGCUCAACCUGGGAACUGCAUUCGAAACUGGCAGGCUAGAGUCUUGUAGAGGGGGGUAGAAUUCCAGGUGUAGCGGUGAAAUGCGUAAAGAUCUGGAGGAAUACCGGUGGC